GACGUAGGAGGCGAGCGUUGUCCGGAUUCAUUGGGCGUAAAGAGCACGCAGGCGGUUUGGCAAGUCGGAUGUGAAAACCCGAAGCUCAACCCCGGGCCUGCAGCCGAUACGGGCAGACUAGAGUUCGGCAGGGGAGACUGGAAUUCCUGGUGUAGCGGUGAAAUGCGCAGAUAUCAGGAGGAACACCGGUGGCGAAGGCGGGUCUCUGGGCCGAUACUGACGCUGAGGAGCGAAAGCGUGGGGAGCGAACAGG
rnacentral:rRNA from 1 species